rnacentral:rRNA from 1 species
AUGAUGAGAUUACUUCAGCAACACUUGGAGCGCGUCAGAACUCGUAUGAAACACCAGGCAGAUAAGAAACGUUCUGACAGAGUAUUUGUUGUGGGUGAUUCUGUUUUUCUCAAGUUGCAGCCAUACAUUCAGUCCUCUGUUGCCCCACGUGCUCAUCACAAAUUGUUGUUCAAAUACUAUGGCCCUUAUCAAGUGCUGGAACGAGUAGGUGCAUCAACCUAUCGUCUUGCGCUUCCGCCGGCAAGCAAGAUCCAUCCAGUUCUACACGUAUCUCAACUGAAGUUAGCACUGGGGCCUAAUUGUCAGGUACAAUCUGAACUUCCUCCUCCUGAUGCACAGUUUGCUGUGCCUAUGAGAGUUCUGCAGCGCCGGUUGCGCCGCCGAGGUGAUGCUGCUGUGCCACAAGGCUUGAACAAUGGUCUGAUCAACCGGAUUCUUUGGCUACAUGGGAAGAUUUAG